CGUAACCUCAGGUUAUUCCGGCGGGGUCUGUCCUCGUAAUCUGCCAUGCGGGUUUCCCUGCUUUCCACUUGCUCUUGCAGGGCUUGUAGUUGGUUUGCCGUUUCUGUUUGCGCGGAGUCCAGGUCUUGGCAGUGCUGCUCUACUGAGGAUGUCCUGGCAGUCAGGUCCCUCACUUCCUUCCAUAUCUGAUCCACCGUCACUUUCCAAGUUUGGAUUAGUUUUGC